AGCACUGCUCUAUAUUUUCAAGACAUCUAGGGGAUAAAUAACUAACUCCGUAAAAUUUGUAUGGGUAUGUCAGCUGUCCCAUCAGCUGUUUUAUUUCGCGUGGCUUCGGAUUGAGGAUGGAUGCUUAAACGAACGUAUCUGUUCUUGAAAUUUAACCACCGAUUCCUUGUGUUUUGAGCUGCGCCUUGUGAAUUUGAUCAAUGCAGAGUUGUUCAAGGAGGAGCAUGAUUUGGCUUUCUAGCACGUUUUUCAUCUCAGUUAGUCUAAUACACCCAUUUUGAACCAAAGGUCUUCGGGAUGUACCUGAUGUACUCUGGUGGCCAAAGAAUCAUUCAGUGACUUGGUCCAAUCCAGGACUUGGUUUUUUCAAAAGUGAUUUACAUUUUUAAUUUGCAGAGAACCUCAAGGUACCUGAUGUGUUGGAUUGGUGUUGGAGUAACUUGGUGACAGAAUGGAAUGCGACCAAUGUUAUGUUGUCAGUGUAAAUAAACAUAUCCAGUAUCA